rnacentral:rRNA from 1 species
GGCCGCGGGAAUUCGAUUCAGGCCUAACACAUGCAAGUCGAGCGGUAGAGAGAAGCUUGCUUCUCUUGAGAGCGGCGGACGGGUGAGUAAUGCCUAGGAAUCUGCCUGGUAGUGGGGGAUAACGUUCGGAAACGGACGCUAAUACCGCAUACGUCCUACGGGAGAAAGCAGGGGACCUUCGGGCCUUGCGCUAUCAGAUGAGCCUAGGUCGGAUUAGCUAGUUGGUGAGGUAAUGGCUCACCAAGGCUACGAUCCGUAACUGGUCUGAGAGGAUGAUCAGUCACACUGGAACUGAGACACGGUCCAGACUCCUACGGGAGGCAGCAGUGGGGAAUAUUGGACAAUGGGCGAAAGCCUGAUCCGGCCAUGCCGCGUGUGUGAAGAAGGUCUUCGGAUUGUAAAGCACUGGAAGUUGGGAGGAAGGGCAUUAACCUAAUACGUUAGUGUUUGACGUACCGACAGA